CACUCACGUUGGAACGACCGAGUGCACCAAACGCUCCGGCGCUGCAGGAUGUGGCUGCGGCCGAUUAGGUAGACGGUGGGGUAACGGCCCACCGUGCCGAUAAUCGGUACGGGUUGUGAGAGCAAGAGCCCGGAGACGGAAUCUGAGACAAGAUUCCGGGCCCUACGGGGCGCAGCAGGCGCGAAACCUUUACACUGCACGACAGUGCGAUAAGGGGACCCCAAGUGCGAGGGCAUACAGUCCUCGCUUUUGUGUACCGUAAGGUGGUACACGAAUAAGAGCUGGGCAAGACCGGUGCCAGCCGCCGCGGUAAUACCGGCAGCUCGAGUGAUGACCGAUUUUAUUGGGCCUAAAGCGUCCGUAGCUGGCCGCGUAGGUUCGUCGGGAAAUCCAUCCGCUCAACGGAUGGGCGUCCGGCGAAAACCACGUGGCUUGGGACCGGAAGGCUCGAGGGGUACGUCCGGGGUAGGAGUGAAAUCCCGUAAUCCUGGACGGACCGCCGAUGGCGAAAGCACCUCGAGAAGACGGAUCCGACAGUGAGGGACGAAAGCUGGGGUCUCGAACCGGAUUAGAUACCCGGGUAGUCCCAGCCGUAAACAAUGCCAAUUAGGUGUGGCACCGACUACGAGUCGGUGCUGUGCCGUAGGGAAGCCGAUAAAUUGGCCGCCUGGGAAGUACGUCCGCAAGGAUGAAACUUAAAGGAAUUGGCGGGGGAGCACUACAACCGGAGGAGCCUGCGGUUUAAUUGGACUCAACGCCGGACAUCUCACCAGCAUCGACUGUAGCAAUGAUCAUCAGGUUGAUGACCUCUAUGUUGAGCUACAGAGAGGAGGUGCAUGGCCGCCGUCAGCUCGUACCGUGAGGCGUCCUGUUAAGUCAGGCAACGAGCGAGACCCGCACUCUUAAUUGCCAGCAUCGCGUUCGCGCGGAUGGGUACAUUAGGAGGACUGCCGCUGCUAAAGCGGAGGAAGGAACGGGCAACGGUAGGUCAGUAUGCCCCGAAUGUGCUGGGCUACACGCGGGCUACAAUGGCCGAGACAAUGGGUUCCUACCUCGAAAGAGGAUGGUAAUCUCAGAAACUCGGUCGUAGUUCGGAUUGAGGGUUGAAACUCACCCUCAUGAAGCUGGAUUCGGUAG
rnacentral:rRNA from 1 species